AGCAAACAAUAAGUAUGGUGUCACUUGCACAGGCACAAACACUCACACACAGCGAGUACUGUACAUAUGAUCGCAAUGCAUGAGCCACAAUAUUGAGUACACCUUGCCCAAUCUGCAGUUGUGCGGACACUUGGAAACCGGGUCGUGAGCAAGGUUUAAUAAUCCGACCACCAGCUGUCGGCGUGGCAGAGCUUUUAAAGCAGCUGGUAACAAGGUGGGGUUUCAUGAGGUAAAGCCCUCCUAUGCUUGUCUUAGUUUUUCACUUAUAUGAAAGCUAAUCAUGUAAAAAUGCUACUUAAAAUAUUGCCUAAACAUUUCAUAAAGUGCUGGUGAGAGUUUGGGCCCCGGAAUUGAUUCUCUUCGAGAAUUUCCCUCCAGGCACCACACAUAAGUGGUACUGUAAAUUAAAUGAAAAUGUUUUGGUAACCUCAAUUCACUAAAUGAAAGAAGCAAAGCUUUCUUAAAACAACUGUACCACACCGCGAAUAAACAAUUGGUUAAAUUAAUGUCUGUAUCAAUCUAAAUGGGCCCUUAUUAUCUUGCGAGGGAAGAAUGUAUGUUACAGUGUAACUCUGGCAUAGCACCACAUUCGAUUGUGCUGCUUUUCUGUCAUGUUAAACAGUCAU